AAACAGGCUGCAAAAGCGUGUUACUUGCUUGUAGUCAAACAGAAGGCAGAGCUGCGAAUCAAAUCCAGGUUUGUCUCGACAUGCCACUAGCUCGUACUUCUCUUGGAUCAGCCACUAAAUGGCUUUCACUCCAGAGAGCAGCGAGCAGCACCAGAAUUAUGGAACAUUUAUCAACAGCCUAAAAUAAAGACAACACUACGAGAAUUUGGUUGCCUACACAGAUUCAAGAUACAAUCCUGCUGGAUUCUGGACGAGAUAUCAGAGUGUGCAUGCACAGAAGUACAACCAUGUGAAGAGGUAGCAAGAGAGCAGCAAUCUACAAGCCAAGGAAAGAGGCCACAGAGGAAACCAAUCCCGCCAGCAUCUUGAUCUUGGACUUCCAGCUUCUAGAACUAACCAGGGACCACACUCACAUGCUGGCAGUAUGGGCUUCUGUCUUCAGGACCAUUGCAAGGCUGCACGAAAACUUAGAGGCAUCAUCCUGCCUUGGCUUCUGGUUGCCAAGGUGUUCUGCCUGAUACCAACUCUGUCAGCAGUCAAACUAACCAUGCUUUUCCCUUGGAGGCACAUGUAGAUUGCCUAACUACCCUCACCAGGCAAACAAUUCUGCAUAUGUCAUGUCCUCUGCUUUUCUUUUCAGAUCCAGCCUUAGUCAAGCUUGUGAAACAAUGACUGUCUUAAUUGGUCCCCUGGGUACCCAGACCUAAUCCUUUACCAAGUCACUAGUUAUCCCGUGUUCCCUAUCUGUCUAUCCAUCCAUCCUUCAUCAUCAUCCAAUACUUACAGAAUGCCUAUGGUUGCAAAUACAAGAAUGACUGCUUGGUUCCUGCUGUCCGUAAACUCACAGCCUGGGAUAAGUGUCCUUCAUGGUUCAUUCAUAUUUCACAAGCCCCAUGAAGUCUAUCUGGAUUUUCGAUGGAUGUCUUGCCUUUUCCUCUACACACUACAGGAAGAGUGACCACCCCUGCCAAGGGCCUAGUAUAGUACCCUAUACAUGUAGCUGAUCAGUUGAUUGUUACUGAUCAUGCAUCAUGUUAUCAAAAACUAACACGAUGCUUGGCA